rnacentral:misc_RNA from 1 species
AUUCUGACACUGUCCCAUUCUAUGGGUUUUUCUACUUUCACUUCUCCUGUUAAUAUAGAGAGAGUUGUUUGUAAAUGCCCAGAUCACUUAGAACCAUGAAAGCUAAAAGACUUAAACGACUCACUCAAAGGAUUCGUUUCUUUUUCCGUAAAGGUGAUGAGGACCACAGCAAAAGCACGACAGGCAAAGCUGAGGGGGACACAAAGAACAUCGGUACCCCAGGAGCCCGUGGGGCAGGGGUGUCCAUUCACCCCCAGGACAAUGUGGAUGGGACACUUAACCCUGUGGAUGCCGUGUUUAAAUCUAUGAUUUUCGGUGAAAUUUCCAGGGAUAAUUCUACUACCGGUGAAAGGAAAGAGCACGCACCUGCUCGUACUGACAAGGGCGGCCUUUCUCUAGACUUAUCGUCCCCAAACAGGGGAAGACGACGGUUAGUCCGAAGGAUCACCUCCCGGGAGGAAGUGAAGGAACAGGUAGUGAAUGGCAGUUUCCGGUCCCAGAGGGAGACUAGGUAUUCCCGCCAGGUGUCGCUGUACAGUGACGUGGAGGUUGACGGAGAUGAGACGGACGCCCCGGACACGACUGAAAAACACAAGAAAGGUCAGAAUAGUUUACCGUUUUAAAAAGAUUCAAGAAGGAAUAGGAUACUUAAAAUACUUCAUCCAUCCAUACUUUAACUCAAAAUUUACAGUUGAAUUUGGUCAAAAUUUAACGCAUUUUGAACAUUUUUGUUUUUGGUUCAAAAUUUAACGCACUUUUUUUUUGUCAAAGUAUGACUGCGUAUUUUUUUUAAACGCGUUGUCACAAGAGCUUUCAAAUUCCUACUUGUUAAAGUUGUAUGUUACUGUGAACACGACAGACAUUAUAAUCUAAUCCAUUUGUUUCUAUAGAUGGCCGACCGUUUGAGGUUCUGUCGGAGGAAGAGAAAGAACACAGAAUAGCGGAAGUAGCGAGCCGCCUUAAGUUGAUCGGUGACAAGGCGGUGGAGCGAUACAACACCGAGAGCUCGUCCUCGGGUCUGGAGUCUCCGCAGGGCCAAGGCCCUACCGCAAGGGCUGGUGAGUUCUGGGACAUUCUUAAUCUAAUUGUAUUAUAAAAUUCUGACGUUAUUUUUUGUUGCUGAUCUGUUUGCUAUCCUCUAUUGUUAGAAUGUACAUAUGAAACUCUUUUCACCAUAGAUGAUCAACUAGUGCAACAACUUGUUGAAGAAUUUCGUAAAGAAGGAGACAGAUUCUCUCGAGAGGUAUUAAACACCGAUAUGUUUUACCCCUGGGUGUUAAUUUCAUCUCACAAAUAAUUUACUUCCUAAAUGAUUUUUGAAUAAUCGUUAAUAUAUUAAAGUUUUCGAAUGUUUCACAAAAUUGUCCUUGACCUUUCAGUAUAAACUUGGCUCCCUGACCCCGGUUGUUUUGGACAUCGCCCGGCAGCACACGUACGCCCAGUUUCGUCACGUUGUUCACUCCUCCCUACAGCACUCGGUUGGUUGGGAACAGAUCGCUCUGUAUUUCUAUCUGACCCGGACGGCUGUCCACGUGGCCAAAGGAAGCGUGAGUGUAGCACAUAUGGCGUACCAGUACUUCCGGGAGACGUACUCCGGUUGGGUGGAGGAGCGCGGCGGAUGGGUAAGUGUCGUCUGCUACACUUACAGAUAUUGUCUCUAUUUCAGUAAUUUUAAGUCAACCAUAAUUAAACACAGGAUUUUAUUUCCAUAUUGUUAAAAAAAUGUAACGAAAUUAUAAUCAGACUGAUCACUGUAUUUCUAAGCAUAGUGUCACCCUGUAUGAAGUAAUCUUCAUUCACGUCCAUUUUAAUAGCUGCUAUUAAUGCACGUAAUGCUGGUUUUCUAGAAGUAACAAUUAUGUUUUUAUUUUUUUCAGGAGACGAUGCUAGAGGAGACCGACUGUGAGCUAGACUAGUGAUUGUGAUGACGUCAUUAUUAGGUGACGAUCAUGCGCAGAAACAGAUUCCGUCCUUCAAGGACCAAAAAAUCCAGUUUUAUCAUUUUUUUUAAUUCAUCAUUGAUCUCAUGCUGUGGGUAAAUCCAAUGAACUGUUGUGCCAAAGUGGGAUAGUGUAAAAAUUCAUCAUUCCGGGUUUUAGUGAUAUGGAGGUCACAAGGUGUUUACAUGAUUGUUCCAUUUUUGUUUGGUGCAAUAUUUUUGUUAUUCAUUAUUAAAUGAUGUGUUCUUGUUAAUAAAAUUUUUCAAAAGAUUUUCAAAGAUGUUUUUAUUUAAAUAUCAGGAUGAAAUAGACUAAGUGUUUAAUUGUAUUUUUAUUUAUUUUUUAAUUGUAUUAUUAUAAAUCCCCUACCCCCACCCCCCACCCCCCAAAAAAAAACAAAAAACAAAAC